rnacentral:rRNA from 1 species
UACGGGGGGGAGCAAGCGUUGUUCGGAUUUACUGGGCGUAAAGGGCGCGUAGGCGGCCACCGCAAGUCGACUGUGAAAUCUCCGGGCUUAACCCGGAAAGGUCAGCCGAUACUGCGGGGCUAGAGUGCAGAAGGGGCAACUGGAAUUCUCGGUGUAGCGGUGAAAUGCGUAGAUAUCGAGAGGAACACCUGCGGCGAAGGCGGGUUGCUGGGCUGACACGUGACGCUCAUGCACGAAAGCGUGGGGAGCAAACAGG